GAUGAAGAACGUAGUGAAAUGCGAUACGUAAUGUGAAUUGCAGAUUUCAGUGAAUCAUCGAAUCUUUGAACGCACAUUGCGCCCGCCAAUAUUCUGGCGGGCAUGCCUGUUCGAGCGUCAUUUCAACCAUCAAGCCUUCGCUUGUGUUGGGGCCCCGCGGCUGCCGCGGUCCCCUAAAUCCAGUGGCGGGCUCGUCGUCGUACCGAGCGCAGUAGACAUCCUCGCUCCGGGAACCCGACGGGUGCCGGCCGUGAAACCCCCCACAUCAAGGUUGACCUCGGAUCAGGUAGGAAUACCCGCUGAACUUAAGCAUAUCAAUAAGCGGAGGA
rnacentral:misc_RNA from 1 species